GAGAGUUUGAUCCUGGCUCAGGACGAACGCUGGCGGCGUGCCUAAUACAUGCAAGUCGAACGAAGCUUUCUUUCACCGAAUGCUUGCAUUCACCGAAAGAAGCUUAGUGGCGAACGGGUGAGUAACACGUAGGCAACCUGCCCAAAAGAGGGGGAUAACACUUGGAAACAGGUGCUAAUACCGCAUAACCAUGGACAUCGCAUGAUGUUCAUGUAAAAGACGGCUUUUGCUGUCACUUUUGGAUGGGCCUGCGGCGUAUUAACUUGUUGGUGGGGUAACGGCCUACCAAGGUGAUGAUACGUAGCCGAACUGAGAGGUUGAUCGGCCACAUUGGGACUGAGACACGGCCCAAACUCCUACGGGAGGCAGCAGUAGGGAAUCUUCCACAAUGGACGAAAGUCUGAUGGAGCAACGCCGCGUGAAUGAAGAAGGCCUUCGGGUCGUAAAAUUCUGUUGUCAGAGAAGAACAUGCGUGAGAGUAACUGUUCACGUAUUGACGGUAUCUGACCAGAA
rnacentral:rRNA from 1 species